UACGUAGGCAGCGAGCGUUGUUCGGAGUUACUGGGCGUAAAGGGUGUGUAGGCGGUUGUUUAAGUUUGGUGUGAAAUCUCCCGGCUCAACUGGGAGGGUGCGCCGAAUACUGAAUGACUUCGAGUGCGGGAGAGGAAAGUGGAAUUCCUGGUGUAGCGGUGAAAUGCGUAGAUAUCAGGAGGAACACCGGUGGCGAAGGCGGGUCUCUGGGCCGUAACUGACGCUGAGGAGCGAAAGCGUGGGGAGCGAACAGG
rnacentral:rRNA from 1 species